rnacentral:lncRNA from 1 species
UUACUUUUUUAUACCCUUUUUUUUAAACCCCUUUUCCCAUUUAACCCAAAAGAAAUCCCCUCCCGAACGCCUCCCCCCUCCUCCUCCUUGUAUGCAAAACUGAAAAUGGCAAUACCUUAUUAUAGCCAUAAUGGUAUAUAGAUAGUGUUUGCGUUUGGCUGUGUGUUAUUUGUCUUCUUUUUUUUUUAAAUUAUGAAUAUGUGUAAAAUCUGAGGUAACUUGCUAACGUGAAUGGUCAUAUAACUUUAAAGAUAUAUUUAUAAUUAUUUAAUGACAUUUGGACCCUUGAAACAUUUCUUAGUGUAUUGAUGUGUUGACUUCGGUCUCUAAAAGUGCUCUUUAUUAAAUAACAAAUUUCUUCUGUGGGCUAGAGCCAUAUCUGAAAUAUUGCUAAGCAAUUUCAGUUCAUCCAGGCACAAUGUGAUUUUUAAAAAAUACUUCCACCUCCAAAUAUUUUAGAUGUAGCUUGUUUUUGCGAUGUAUGAAGGAAAUGUUAUGUUUAGGUCUUUCAGCUCUUUGAUUGCCUCUAACCCAGCUUUGCCUUUUCAAAAGCAAUCAUUAGAGAUUAAAAACAAAAACAAAAACAAAACCCAACUCUUAGUCCUUUAUCACUUAUGUGGCCCUUUAUCAGCAUGAAAUGCUGGGGUGAUGUGGUUUCCUAAUUUCUUUGAAAUAAUGAUGACUUUUGUCAUAUUAAAAAGACAAGCACAAGUGAAUCAUUGAACUGCAGACUGAUGCUCUGUGGUUUCAUAGUUCAAGCAAACCUCUAAAGCGCCAGGCUUCAUAGUGAAAAUGUAGUCGGCUUAAAGCCACGCAUGUGGCUAAAGGAUCAAUCAUGAUACACCUAGUACAGGAACGUAAAACUGCACUGGGGGAGUCUUGCCCAACCCGCCUUACCAAACUGCAAGUCAGGGGAACCCAAGUCUGCCUGGGGCCCCUGGCAGCUCUCCACAGAAUUUGCAUUUAAAGGAGCAGAAUUGAGUCAUUGUCUCACGGAAGCAGGGUCACCUUAAGGAGCAGGCAGGUCCCAGCAGGCAGCUGAUCUGAGCACCUACGGGCUGCGGGGACCCAUAGACACCCUUGGAUGUCCGUAUUUCUCACAGUGGCGGGUGGCAGGAAGGCAAGGCCAGGUGGAGUUUGAUGUCUACUACUGCAUGUGAACUUGAGCCGAAGCCCUCCUGUCGGAUGCACUUUGACCCCUCCUGGCGGCCACACAGCAAAUUCUCCAGUGUGAAUCCUUAAUCCAAGCCAGGACCACUUCGUGACACCACUGGGCAGACCCUCCCCCACAGGUCAAGGCCCCUUCAUUAGAAUUCUGUGCCCCCUACCCCGAGCAGAACCUUACAGAGAUCUGCCUCCAGCUCCCAGAGGCCCCUUCCUUGCUCCCUAGUACUCCUUCAGCUCACUUCAUAGGCCACCAGGCACCUCCAGGCAGCCUUGUGGGGGCACUGGACCUGUGCUAUUCGCCUGGGAAUUCACCCUGACGCCUCCUAAUAAAAAUCAAGGGGGAAAAAACCAAAGCAAACCAAAACACUUUGCCUUCUAAAGGUUGUAUACCAAGUAUGCUUAGAUAAAAUAAGCCACUUUUCUAUUAUAAGAUGGAAAUAGUCAUUGAUACUAUUUAUUGUUGUGUGUGGUAGCUUGAAGCACGCCACUGUCCAUUUAUUUGUAAGUGUAAAAAUAUGUGUUUGUUUAAGCCGCACUUAAAAAAGCCAGUGUCUGGUUUACACAUUUCAAUCCUAGGUCAUUGACAUAAAAACGUUAUCACCAGUGCCAGCUGUAUGUGCCCUAUUUAAUAAAAGAGGUACUAUAGCUGUACAUUCUUUUUUUUUUUUUUUUAAUGUUGAAAGGGCUUUUUUAAGUUUACAGGACACAUACUAAGUGACUUGAGGGAUUUUUUUGUGUGUUGAAAUGUUACUAUAGUGGCUGCAGGCAGCAACCCAGAAACACUUUAAAAGUUUUAUUUUCUUGGGAAAAAUUCAAGCACUUCUUCCUUCUCCCCUCACUCCAACCACUCCAGUGGGAUAAUUUACCUUUCUUAGAGCAAAUUCUGCCCCUUUUUACCCUGAGGGUUACGUUUUUCUUCUAUCUUUUUUUUUUUUUUUUUUUUAAACCGAAUCCUUACUGUGCACUGGGUCGUGUGUAUGAUUUGUGAUUUCAAGACCAAAGCAAAGGCUUUCUGCUACUGUAGAACUCUGAACUAGCCAACACGCCACUUCCUGCAGGUGAAAAUGGCUUGGUUUCCAGUGUGACCAACCCAGCCACUUUUGAAACCUGCUGGAACCGAUGUCAGAGUCCCAGAACAGGUACCAAAGCUGUAGUGUUUGUGUGUGUGUGUGUGUGUGUGUGUGUGUGUGUGUGUAAUGGCACCCAGCUUGCCAGCUUGGAACUGAAAGACUCCACAAGUCAGCUGUGGUUCGCUCUUUUUGUCUUACCACCCCACCCCCCAGGGCCUUUUAAAAAAGUGAGCAGAGAAUUCCACACCCUUAGGGACCAUCCAAGGCAAGUGCCGAGGGAGGAGCUGUGUGUCCUGGUGUAGCGUUGCGUCCGUUCCCAGGAAAGGGACUGACUCAGAGUCUAGGUUAAUACGUGGAAACACAAGCAUUAGCAAAAACAAUCAUUAUACCGAUGACAUUCGGAAGAACCACAAUAAAUAAAAGAUGACUCCUCCAGACCUUGAAUUUGUUGUUCUUAAAAAGAUAAUGCAUUUCAAAAAUAUUUUCUAUGUGAGAACUUUUUAGAUGUUUGUUUACUUCAUGUUUACAAAUAACUGUUUGCUUUUUCAUGCAGUACUUUGAAAUAUAUCAGCCAGAACCAUAACUUACAGUAAUUUCUUAGGUAUUCUGAAUAAAAUUCCAUUUUUUUUUUCUGGAUAUGCUUUACCAUUCUUAGAUUUCUGUGGAACAAAAAUAUUUGUAGCAUUUUGUGUAAAUACGAGCUUUUCAUUUUAAUUUUUACCCCCCCCCCAUUGCUGUUGCCCAAGAUUUGCUUUCCGUGCACAUAUUGUACAAAUUCUGCUUUGUGCCACAGGUCAUGACUGUGGAUGAGUUUACUCUUAACUUCAAAGGGACUAUUUGUAUUGUAUGUCGCAACUGUAAAUUGAAUUAUUUGGCAUUUUUUUCUCAUGACUGUAAUAUUAAUUUGAAGUUUGAAUUUAAUUGUCAAUAAAAUGGCUUUUUUGGUU